rnacentral:lncRNA from 1 species
AUUUGUUUUUGUCACGGUAAAUUAUUGAGACAUGAAUCUCUAUGCCACACAGAAUCAUUAGAAUUUGGCAGCCUCUUUGGCUCUUGUGCUUUGAGGAUUUGGGAUUAGAUACAGUUCACUUUUAGUACAUGUUGGACAUAUUUGUCUUCCUAUGAACAAUCUCCUUGUUCUUACCCAGUUAUGCUGUAGUAAGGUUGAGUGAGUCUCUUGGUCCUGAUUAGCACUACCUCUUAAAAAGGAAG